GCGUUCAUCGUAUAGGGGUUAGUACACCACUCUUCCAAAGUGGAGACGGGGGUUCGAGUCCCCCUGAACGCA